rnacentral:misc_RNA from 1 species
GUGGAAGACGGGGAAGAAGGCGGAGCUGUGGCCGUAUGUGCCGUAUGAUGUGGUGGCGCACCCGUACGCGCCGGGGGCGUAUGAUAAGAAGGCGCCGGCAGGGUAUGUGAGGAAUGUGAUCAAUGAUCCGUCGGCGGCGCCGCUGGCGCGGGCGAGCUCGACGGAGGUGCGGUAUACUACUGCAUUCAGCGAUGACAACCCCAACUCGUGUUCCGUCAUGUGAGACGGAGAAGAAGGAUGAGGGGUUGUUUGACUUGCA